rnacentral:tRNA from 1 species
GCUGAGCAGGUCAGAUGCGAUUCGAGGUGACUCGCUGAGACCCACUCGACCGCAUUCCUAAAUCGCAGGUCGGAGGUUCGAAUCCUCCCGGGAGCG